GAGAUACCUGCAAGUGGGUUAGAGAAAGAGAAGGUUAAACAUGAUAAGAAAAAUUACUGCUUCCAGUCUCUACGAAUAAAUAAACAAAACACUCUUAACUGUACAGAGUUCAUUUCUCAAAGAAUUACCAGUUACAGGACACAAAUGAACAUUAACAGAUAGAGCCAUGAUUGACAGGCAUCCCAAAGCAAAUUGAUUUUACACGGGGGAAGGAAAAAUACAGUGUCUUAUGUUUCAGCAGCAGGAUACUAAUCCUGUUCUUAUGCCAUUUUUACUGGGGCCACACUAAGAAACAAUGCGGUGUGAAAUGUUGUUCUUGCACACGUCGAGUUUGUUGAAGUGAGCUGUGGUUUGUGCAAAACGGUUGUUCUUUCCUAGCAAAGAAGGGCAAGGUGAAGAACAGCACUGGCAUUACACAGUAUUCUGCUCUAAUCUCAAUUCCCUCUCUCCAAAAAAACUCAGUCACAGGUAAGAUACGGUUGCUUCCAUCAAAGGGUCACGUAAUACCUGGUAGCAACAAGAGGGUAUGUUCUUCUGUUCUUGGAUCUUGGCAAUGAUCUUGCCCCCUUGCAAUGAUCCCUGUGCUUGGCUCUUGCUCCUGCCACCCUGGCAAGGGCUUUUAUCAACUGUGAUCAAGGUGAUACCUCGUCUUUCUUUUCUGGGGUGGCUGUCAAGAGUGGUCCUGGGCUGUUUCUUGUAAGAGGAUUAAAAGUGUUCUCAGUACUGGUUUCUGACUAAGCUUAGGAUUUUAGGAGGAAAGAUAAAUUAUUUAGCAAGUCUGAGAGUAAUCGUCCAUUGGCUCUUUUUCUGCUCUUCCUGUAAUCUCCAAACAGUCAACACAGUCUAGAUGCUAAAAAAACUUCCCAUGGCAACAGCCAGAGGAAAGAUGGGAACAAAUUAAGCACUGAGAUACAAGACAGCUUGCAAUGUGGCUCACCCUCCAGGACUGUGAAGGUCCCUUUUUCAGUACUGCCAGCCACUGCAUGCUGCCCUCCCAAAGCACAGCCCAAAGGCAACGGCGUCAGUGCAAACCUUAUCUUCCCCUGGAGAAUGUGCUAUGUCCUUGCUCCGUCAUGAGCAGCAAAGCCAGGUGAAAACAUCCAUUCUCCUUGGAAUGCUCCUCCUGAUUCAAGCCCACUCAGCCAUUUCCUUGGGGACUUCCGCAAAUGCUGCUAGUGCCUGUACGAAGUCAAACAGCUGCUGGUUUUUCCUUGUUUGCUUUGUUGUUUGUUGGUUUGUUUGGUAGUUUGCUUGUUUGGUUUAAAUUUCUCUCCUCGCCUCCCCCCAGAUGGUUGCUGUCUCUCCAAGAGAGGCAGUAUUCAGACAGCAAAAGGGAUGAUGUGCUGUGAAGACAGCAAAAGUGGAGUUGUGAAGCAAUAAUGCAACCCUGCUUGGACAAAAGCUGCUGUGAUUCUGACUCCCGUGCAAAGUUAGCAUCACCUGGGAGCCUCACACCCCUUUGCAUCUUCAAAGAGAAAUCCUGGAUGUUGUGUUUGGAUUUUGGGGAAGAAAAUGAACCAGAGUAGGAUCUCCUAUGACAUGACUGACAUGACAGAAGGAUGCUGUGCCCUACCUGACCCCUGUGUGUCCAAGAAUGUCCUUCCUGGUUUACAGAUGAGUCCUGACACUCAGCCUCCCACCACCAGCACUUUAAUGGCACUUGCCCUCUACCUCCCUUUCAUUCUGUUCCCUUCCCUUCUUACUCCAGUGGCUAGAUGGAGAGUCCUUUGAAAGUGCAAGCUUUCACUUCAUUUCAUGCUUGUAAAGUGCAUAACAGAGCACCAGUCCAAGAAGAAGGCUGUGAAGUCCAGGCACAAUGCAAAAUAAUAAUUAUAGUAAUAAUAUUAAGCUAUUAUUCUCUUCAAAUGUUCCAUUCUUUCGGUGCUCCUGGAGCUUCUACAAGGCUCUUUCUUUUUCUAACAACACUGUGGCUUAUUUUAUCUGCACAGCUUUGAACUGAGUCAUGGCAGUGUCUUGGGCCAAUUCACAACAGUACCCUCCUUAUCUGCCCAGGGCAGAAGGUGAUGGAGAGCCUGUGGUAUUGCCCUUUCUAUUUCUGUUCCAAGACUGCACAAGCCUACAAGCUGGAGCUUCAUCCAUGAGAAGCCAGCGUGUGAGAUGCAAACUGAUGCAGUGUGGGGCAGCUCCUGGCCUGAGCUGUCAGAAACCUCCAGCAGCUCCAGGAAGGGUCCUCCCUGGAAAGUCCAAGUCAGUCUGUUUGAAGACACCAAGGAAGAGGUCACCUGCAGGAGCCUCAUUGCCUGAAUAAUUCAAGGAAAGAAGUCUUCCCAGUGGGUGAGAUUUCCUUGCAAGAGUAAUGCAGGUCUGCAUACUGUGACGUGCACGGCUCCAGCUGUGAUCAGCCAGAAAAUAGAGCCUUUAUUGCAGUGUCUACACCUGCUUUCAGAAAGUCAUAGGAGUUUGGCAGGCUGCUUUCCACUGGUGACUCUGGAGGACAGAGGAAAAAUCAGCUGACAGAACGUUUCUUGCAAAGGAGAAGUAUAUAAAAUGAGUGCAUAUGACCAUUUCAUGGGAAAAGAAAGCCUUCAUCUUGUCCUGCCAAUCAGGGGAAUCCAGUCUCUGGAGUGUCUCAUGUGAGGGCUGGCUUUCAGGGUUAUGUCUUCCAAGCAGCCUCUCUCUGCCAGGCAAGGCCAGUUUACACAGGGAAAAGGCAUAAACUACUUCUGCACUUGACACCAUGCAUCUGUUCUCUGUGGGGACACAUUUGUCAUACCCUUCAAGACCUCUUGUCCUUGCUCUGCCUUAAUGGGGAAGGGAAAAGCAGCAUCCCUCAGAUAAACCACCUCGGAGACUACAGGACCAUGAAAUGGGAAGGUAGAUGAGAGGAGCCAACUGUGGAUACAAUAGAAGUCAGGAAGGGUGUAGAUAACAUCCUCCAGGCUGGCCCAAGGACAAGGAAGUCCAGCGUUGGCACACAUCGAAAAUCCAGCUGAAGAGCAAAGCCAAACUGGAGGCUAGAGACUGUGGACUUGAGGCUUGAGAGAGCAAAAAUGUUGUAGAAAUAAAAGAGAAAAAAACUUUUGCAACCA